UCUUAGUUUACUUUUAGUAGAUUUCUUUUCUUUUUAAAAAAAACAAAAUAAAAAAAAAUAAUAAUAAUAAAAAUGAUCUCAAUAAAAUAAAAAAAAAGGUCCGUAGCUUUUAAUUGCUUUUGUAGGAUUUUAGUUGAACUUUUGACUUUUCUUUUCUUGUUACCUUUAUUUUUCUUACCUUUUCUUUCCUUUUGUGUAUUUGUUUUUAGUUGUUUUCCUUUGCAACGUGUUAGUUAGGGGUAAUGGAUUAGUGGAUCCUCCACCAAUUUUUGGCUACUAAUGCUAUUAUAUAUCAUAUGAUGCAGGUGGAAUUAUGAAUAAAAACACUAAAUGACUUACCAAAUUGUUGAAGUUGCUGCAUACACAGGAAGCUCCACAACCAUCAAGCAACAGCAUCAAUCCCACUACAGUUUCCUGAUCGAACGGUACUCCGGAACGUAAUCUCGAACUCUCUGUUUCAUUGGCGAAUUUCAUUAUCGAACCCUAAUCUCCGAAUUAAUUGUUUAAUUAUUUAGACCGAUGUUGUAUCAGUUUCGAAUGGGUCGUUCUACCACGUCUAGGAGUAAGAGAACUUGGGGAGUAUCGCGGCCCGUACCCGUAUCAAAGCCUCCUGCAUCCAAGAAGAAAUCUGUUAGUGCUAAAGGAAAGAUGUCGUCUAAAACUAAACAGAAUGUGGUGGUUGACUACUAUGAUAUGAAGGAUUGUUUGAGAGAGGAAACUCCAAGCUUCAGUUGAUAGCAGGAUAAAAGAUGACCAGAAGGAGAUGAAGGAGCAAUUGAUUUCAAUGUCCACAUUCCUUGGCACUUUGAGCACGUGGAUACAAUCAGGAGGAUUUUCAAAUCUUCCUCGUCCCUUUCCAUGAUGAAGCUUAAAUUUGUGAGUAUUCUUUCCCCUUGUUAAUCAUGUUAUAUAUUGCAUUGAGGACAUUGCAAUUUUUAAGUGUGGGGGAGGGAUAUUAUCUUUUAAUUUGUAAAUAUUAGGUUUGUUUUUGGUUGUUUGUUCUUAGUUUUUUUUGUUUGUCUUUAAUUUUUGCUUUGUUAGUCUAGAUAGAGUCGUCUUGUCUUAGUGUCAUCUUGAUUUUUCAUUCCAAUAUGUGAAACAAGUGAUUAAGUGAUUUUUGAAACAUAUUUUCUUACACAAAUUUUCAAGAGUUAAUUGGCAUUGGAUUGAGUAAUUCAAUAAAUUAGCAUAAAUCCUUUUGAUGACAAUGGUUUGUGGCUAGAAUGGUCUCCCCACUUAUGUGAAUAGCUUGAGUACCCUUGUGAGAAAUUUUUGAGCCUUAUUUGACUGAUUCAUCAUAUUUCAGUCUCAUUCUUUUCUUGUGUGAUUAGUUGUCCUUUGUGUAAUUCGAUUCUUGGAUUUGCUUUUUGACUAUUUGAGACUUGAUGAUGCAUAUUGCGGAAAAAAUGAUUGAAUUCCCUUUGUAGAUAUAUAGAGCCUGAACAUUGUAGGUCCACAAUUUUUUUUUUGGUUUAUUUUACAUUUACUCUUAGGUUGAGCCUGAGCCAUUUUUGUCCUCUUCUUGAUACCUUACAUUUAAAGCCAUAGAGCCUUUUUGUAGAUUUAUUUUGGAGACGGUUUUAAAUUGUAUUUUAUGCCCUAUGAGUGAUGUAUGAAAUAUUAUGUUGAGUGAAGAAAAAAAAUUCAAAAAAAAGGAAAAAAAAACAUUCAACUUCUCAUUUGUGUUUCAAGUUCAAAGAAAAUUCUCAAAAAAAAAUCAAUUCAAUCAUAAUUUCUAGUGAGAAUUCAAAAAAUAAAAUGAGAGUCUCUUCUAUUUCCAAAAGCAAGAAAGUGUGAAAAAGGGAAAGUUUGUAUGAAGUUUGGAGGAAAUAAGGUUGGUUUGAACCCGUCAUUUGGUUAUGUAGUGGGAUUAGGAUUUUCAUUUUUUUUAGCACCACAUUCCGAAAUAACAUCGUCGAACCCUAUUAUUAACCAAGCCUAUCCUUUUUAAGGAAUAUAUGAUUUCCGUAUUUUGCAUCUUUGUUUUUAUAAGUGGAGAAAGUCAAAUUGCAAAUAUGAAGAGGACAAUUAUAUGAAGUUGAUAUGCAUUUAUAUGCAUAGGAUGAGUGAUCUCAUAUUCUAACCCAUAAACACAUGAGUGACUCUUUUACUUUAUUUUUUGCACAACUAAAGUGAGAAGCUAUUUACAUAUGUUUGAGUUGGUUAGGGGAGAUGUGCGGUAAGAUUGGUUGGUCAUUAAAGGGUGCUAUGCAUUAUUGUUUCUUCCAUGCUAUUGAUUUGUGAUACAUAAUUGAUUAUUGGAAAAAAUGAUUUUUGAUUUGGAAUAAUCACUUGAUUGAGCAAAUUGGAAUGGGACUUCUUGAUUUGGCUUUGUAGGUAUGCCUUCUGAAAACCUUCACGAGACCAAACUCGUCCACUAGGGUAGCCUAGGGGUUUAAAGGGCUUGUUGCAUACGCUAAAUGCAAUCGUGAUUCCUACGACAGUGAGUAUUAGGAUUUUACUGCUUUCUUAGAGUAGUUUUUCUUAUUUUGUUUGUUUACCCGAGGACGAGCAAAGGUUAAGUGUGGGGGGAAUUUGAUAACACGAUAUUAUACACGGUUUAUAUGUCAUAUUUAAUCAUAUUUUAUUGUGUUUUCUCCAGUUACUUAAUCUUUUAGAGCUAUUAUUUUCUAUAUUUCGAUAUUACUCUCCUUUGGUAUGUUUUAUCUUAUAUUUGUAGGAUUUAUUAGCAUUUUGGAUUCCGAAGGAGGUUCAUGAGUCAUGUGCAACGGAAUAGGAGGAAUUUAUCAAUAGCUAGGUUUGAGGUCUAUUGCCACAACGCCCUUGUGGCCUUUGUAAUUCUAUCAAGGAAAGAAGAAGUGGAGCAGCCCCUCCACAACGUGGUUGUGGCGUGAACUUGGGCCACCACAGCCUGCUUGUGGCGACUUCUAGCUAGCACUUGGAGAAUGUAUGAUUUCACAGCCCGUGCCACAACCUGCCCGUGCCAACUUUCUCCGUGCCACAACCCACUUGUGGUCUUCCGUUUCGGCUAUGAUAAGAGUGCUAAUAAGAUAGAUUUUUCUAGGUUUGUACUAGGAUAUAAAUAGGGGGUUUUAGAAGAUAAAAACCUAGACUUUAAUUCUACGUUAUUUUUCAUUCUAUGUUAUUUUCAUUCUCUCUUUUGUUCUUCCAAGUUUUGUUCAUUGGAGAUUUACUUUCAAGCUUCCAUUAAUUCAAUUCAAGUAUUUUCUUUCCUUUA